rnacentral:rRNA from 1 species
AUGGCGGCGGGAGUGGUGCGCCGCCGCCUCGCCCUCGCCGGCGCCGGCGCCCCUCCUCCUUCUCCUCCUCCCAUCUACCGCCAGACCGCCGCAGCCAUCCCCAUACCCGAGGUGAAGGAGGACGGUGCUUUCCUCCCCUGGCUGCGGAGCAAGGCCGGGUCCGCCGUCUCCUCGGCGCUGCGCAUCGGGACCUCGCCGCUGGGAAGGUCCUUGUUCGCUUCGCAGCCGAUCCAGGAGGGGGACUGCAUACUGCAACUGCCUCACACCGCUCAGCUUACUCAAGACAAACUUCCGCAGGAGGUCCGCCUGCUGCUCGACGAUGUUGAUGAUGCUGUUGCCAGGGACGCGGCGGCCAAGGUAGCCGUGCUCCUCAUGAUGGAGCAGCGCCUGGGACAUGAAUCGGGGUGGGCGCCUUAUGUUACAUCCCUUCCGGCCAAGGGUCAGAUGCACAACAUGGCUCUUGAACGUUUUCCACAUUUCUUUGGAGAAAUCAAACUGGAGGACUUCAUGCAUGCUUCUGCAUUGGAUUUCCUUAACCAUGAUGGUGCUUCUGGUUCUAUAUUAGUGUAUGACGAAGAGAAAGAUGUUUCAGAGGUCAUUGCCAACAGGAAUUAUGCUGUUGGUGAACAGGUCAUGAUAAGAUAUGGGAAAUACUCGAAUGCCACACUAGCACUUAACUUUGGGUUUACACUUUCCAGAAACAUAUAUGACCAGGCACAUGUUUGGAUAGAUAUGUCAGAGCAAGAUCCACUUUAUGAAAAGAAGCUUGACAUAUGGCAAAAGCACCACCGUACUCCGAAAUCUCAACACAUGUGCAGCUCUGGCUGUACUAGAACUUCUUUUGCCAUUAAUGACACAACGAUGAUGGCCUCUUUAGAAUUGGAAGAGAUGGCCAUGGAGGCUGCUGAAAAUGACGGCCGGCUUGCGAGGCGUCCUCUGAAGCAUGCGGAGAGAGAAGUCCAUGCUCACCGCAAGUUGCUUAUGCACCUUGAAAGCAUGAUUCAGGGUCAUUCUACAGCUAUUGAGCAACUUGAAACCAUUGAUGGCGCUGCAUCUAGGAGCAUGCAUCCGUUGAGAAAAGAGAUGGCUAAAAAUUUACUUGCCGGCGAGGUACAGGUUUUGCAGAGUGCUUAUGCAUGGGUUGCAAACUACUAUAUGGAGCACCUGGUCAAGUGCAUGCUCUUACUCCUUGGAGAGGAAGCCGAUUCCUUUUCAAAGCGAGCAGAGAUGUACUACAAGAGGCGGCCUGAGGUGAUCACUCAGGUGGAAGAAGUGUACCGGAUGUACAGGGGUCUCGCCGACCGGUAUGACAUCAUGUCAGGGGAGCUGCACAAGGCAAACCACACCAUCGCUACCGCCUUCCCUGACCAGGUUCAGUAUGCGAUGCUAGAAGAGGAGGAUGACAACGUCCCAAAGGCGUUCACCCCGGUCGAUCCGCGCAAGAUCCACAAGUCGACCGUCGAUGGGCUGCUGAAGAAGAAGAAAGGAAAUGCGCCAGGAGCCGGCGGAGACAAGAAGGAAGCAGCUCCGAUGAGCAAGGAGAAUGCACGAGAAGAGAUCAGCAGGCUACAGAAAGCUAUACUUGUGAUGCAGACCGAGAAAGAGUUCAUCAAGAACUCGUACGAGAGUGGCAUUGCCAAGUACUGGGAUCUUGAGAAGGAAAUCAAUGAGAUGCAGACAAAAGUUUGCCACUUCCAAGACAAGUUCGACGUAAGCGCGGUGAUCGAGGACGAUGAAGCCAGAGCCUUGAUGACAGCGACGGCCCUCAAAUCCUGUGAAGACACCAUUGUCAGAUUGCAAGAACAGCGCAAGACCGCUGCGAAGCAGGCAUUGGACGAGUCUGAGCGAGUCAAAGUGCUGAGAGAGAAGCUCAAGCCCAUACUGGACGAACAUGGCAAGUCUCUGCCGGACCUGGUGGAGAAAAACAUACGGAAGAAUCAUGUCACGGAGAUGGGAGACGUGUACCAUGUGAAGCUGGGUGAGCUGCAGAUGCAAACAAUAGUCGGCAAGAUCAAGGAAAACUUUGCGAGCGACUGCAACAUCACCAUGGACGAGAUCACGGAGCAGAUCGACGAGCUUGUCAACAAAGUUGUCGAUUUGGAGCUCAUGGUUUCGUCGCAGACCUCGCAGAUCGACAGAAUGCGCCGCGAAAAUGAGGAGCUGGAGAAUUCCGUCAAGAGCCUGGAGGAAGAGGGAGGCUCGAGCGAAGUGGAGGAGAAGCUGAAGCAGGUGGAAGAGGAGCUGGUCAGAGUGCAGGCUCUCGAGAGCUCCUUCCAUAAAGAUGAGAGCACGAUACGCUCAAACUUCACGGAAACGAUAAGCAGAUUCAGUAAUUUCGCCGACAUGUUGCAGUCGCCGGUUUGUGACUACCAGGCUCCUGCUUCUGCUGCUCACACGUCGGCACCACCCGGCGAGGAAGCACCGCCUCCUACAGAGCCAUCCAGCACGAGUCAUCCACCUCCACCUGAGGAAGAAGAAGACAAACAACAGGUAGAAGAAGAGAAGGCCACCGUCGUGCAGACUCCCCAACCCCAACAAAUUUCACGGCCGGGUUCGCUGGCACGGCUUCGCCACAUCUCUUCUGACGCUGAAGAAUCUGAGGAGCAAAAGGGGAAGGGCGAGAAGGGCUGUCUUGACGGUGACAUGAAGAAACUGCAAGAGCGGCUCAUGGAUGGCCUGGAAGACAAGGAGAAGGUCCUGCUAUCCGAGUACACCUCGCUCCUGGAGGACUACAAGGACACCAAAAGGAAGCUGCUGGAUGUGGAGAAGAAGAACCAGGAGUGCCUCAAUGAGAUCAGGUCGCUGCGCAAUCUUAUCGGAGAGAAGGAGAAGGAGAAGGAGAGGGAGAGGGGCAGCAUCAGAGGAGGACACAGGAGGACACCCAGCCUUAGCCAUCAGAGGAAGCAGAGCCUUUCUUCCAUCUCUAAGCUCAUCAGGAUGGGCUCAAGCAUGCAAGACGACCCUCCUGCUGCUGACCUUGACGACAUGAGGCUGCCGGCGAUCGCCGAGGUGGAGAAACCGUCGCCACUGGAGGAGAAGUUCAGGCGCGACAUUGACACGCUGCUGGAGGAGAACCUCGAGUUCUGGAUGAAGUUCAGCUCCUCCAUGGGCCGGGUGCAGGAGUUCCAGAACAAGUACGAAGACCUCAGGAGGGUGGCGGCGGACGGCGCCGACGGCGAGAAGAAGCUCCGGGCGCUCAAGACGGAGCUGCAGGUGUGGUCGGAGCAGAACGCGAUGCUGCGGGGCGAGCUGCAGUGCAGGUUCGCGUCGCUGUGCGACAUCCAGGAGGAGAUCUCGACGGCCCUGGAGAUGGACACGGAGCAGGCGGAGGAGGCCGAGGAGGGCGCGCCGCGCUUCACCUCCUACAGCGCCGGCAAGUUCCAGGGGGAGGUGCUCAACAUGCAGCAGGAGAACAACCGGGUCUCCGACGAGCUGCAGAGCGGCCUCGACCACGUCAAGACGAUCCAGUUUGCCAUCGAGAAGAAGCUCAACGAGGUCGUCAAGCUCUCCUCCUCCUCCUUGCCGGCGGAGGAGGGGGAGGAGGAGGUGGUUGGGCCGGACGGGGUCCUGGCGCGGGUGCCGGCCAAGGCCAAGGUGCCACUGCAGAGCUUCCUGUUCCCGACCAAGCCCAAGAAGCCGUCGCUGUUCGCGCGCGUCACACCGGCCGUGCUCCACAAGCAGCAGUUAGACAUGAAGUUAGACAUGAAGUUAGACAUGAAGUUCCUCCCCAAGAUGUCAAAGUAG